UACAGAGGUUUCAAGCGUUGUUCGGAAUCACUGGGCGUAAAGGGUGCGUAGGCCGCACGGUAAGUCAGAGGUGAAAUCCCGGAGCUCAACUUCGGAAUUGCCUCCGAUACUGCCGUGCUUGAGGACUGGAGAGGAGAUUGGAAUUCACAGUGGAGCAGUGAAAUGCGUAGAUAUUGUGAGGAACACUAGUGGCGAAGGCGAAUCUCUGGACAGUUCCUGACGCUGAGGCACGAAGGCCAGGGGAGCAAACGGG
rnacentral:rRNA from 1 species